UACGGGGGGGGCAAGCGUUGUUCGGAAUUACUGGGCGUAAAGGGCUCGUAGGCGGCCAACUAAGUCAGACGUGAAAUCCCUCGGCUUAACCGGGGAACUGCGUCUGAUACUGGAUGGCUUGAGUUUGGGAGAGGGAUGCGGAAUUCCAGGUGUAGCGGUGAAAUGCGUAGAUAUCUGGAGGAACACCGGUGGCGAAGGCGGCAUCCUGGACCAACACUGACGCUGAGGAGCGAAAGCGUGGGGAGCAAACAGG
rnacentral:rRNA from 1 species